rnacentral:miRNA from 2 species
AGAGGUGCAGUAGGCAUGACUU